CAAAGAGUGAGAUUGAUUUCUUUUUAUUGCCAUCUUAACAAAAAUACUUCGGAAGGCAAUCUUUGAUUCCAGCAUCGGAGGCCGGGCAAUUCCAGGCAAUAAUUAAGCCAUCAGGCUGUUGGACAGGAGAGUGUUCAGUUUGAGGGAAGCAGGAACCCCCAAAGAACCACAGAAUGGGGAGAUGGAGCCAAAGGCACAGGGACAUUGCAGUCACCUUCCAUUCUCCCUACGUGGGACAAAGCUUGGCUUGGGUUUACAAGCAGCGCUCCAGGAACAGCCUUGGAAGGCACUAGAUGCUGCAAUCCUCCCAGCUCCCACUAUGGCUGGGGGCAGGAUGGGAGGGUGGGGGGUUGUUGGGUGGAGGGGUUGGCUGGGGGACUUCUGCUGGGGUCAGCUUCAGGUCAGGGAAAAAAAAGGACACAGAGCUGAGGUGCACCCAGGUCAGAGCUAAGCUUGUAUCUGCCACCUGCCACUUCCCUCUCUAAUGCUAAGAACCCAGUUUUCUCCCCACACUCCAACAUGAAACAUGAAGCUAGAGGUGUAUGUAGCUAGUGCGUAGGCAGCCCGAGCAAGCAGAGGCAAGGCAUGCUGGAACCUGGAAUGGGACAUGAGCCCCACUGGGCUCUGGAUUCUUUUAGAAGCCAGGGAAGAGGUUGCCCUCCACUCCUGAGAUCUGGCCCUGCCUCUCCAAGCCACUGGCUAUGAGCCAUAGAGCCAGGGCAGGGUGGGAGAAUCACCUGCUAAAUGCUAGGUGCCUCCCACCUCACCCAGGACAGCUGAGGCAGAAGCAGAGAUACAGGGGGCAGAGGCCUGGCAAGGGGCAGAGGCCUGGCAAGGGGCAAGACCUGCCCCCUGCCUCCUCUUCCCACUACUCCAGAUCUGGCCUCUGACAGGGGAGCUGGGAAAACCGAUACCCUGGCUUCCAGUCCUGGCCCUCUCACUAACUGGCUGUGUCAUUUGUCUUAUACAGAUGAUGAUGAUAAAAAUGAUCAUAAUAAUACCUGACUUGGCUGUCUUGAGCUGACUGUCCUGAGCCCCCACUGAGACCACCCAGACUCUGCAAGGGCGAGGAAAAGCAUAAAGUGCUCUCUAUGAAUGCAAGACAGUCUUUUCCUUCCUCCGACGUCAUCCCAUUCUUCUCCCCACUCCAAAAAAGGCAAGCACAGCAGCUGAGCACGCGCACAAGGGCAAGCGGAGGGCCAAGGCGGGCACCACCCCCGGGCAAGGGAGGGUAGACCCCUCCCUGAAGGACCGACUUGACCUGCCCAUCAGGCCUCACCCCCUUCAAAAGAAGCAGCAUCAGGGCCUGGGAGGUCACAUGUGGGAGGCCGAUGCAGCAGCCCCAAGGUUGGAAAGUGGGACUCCAUUCGGAUGCUCCCCACUGUUGCGCCCCCCUCCCUGCAAGGCCUGCCACCACGGGACACAGACCAAGAGGAGAACGAUCUCCAGGCCAAGCAAGCAUCAAGCAGGUGGCUUUUCUUGCAUCUUCAGCAUCCGCCAAAGAUGAGGGUGCGGGUCUGAAUACAUGCUCUGUUAGACCACAGGGCAGCGACCUGCGCUCGGUGAGGAGGUAACAGCGCCCCCAGUGUCCUACAAGGGUCAUCGAUCCUGUUCCUGGACACGAAAGACUGGCCCCUGUUGUGAGGCCAGACAUCCCUCCUCCAUGACUCUUCCUCCUAGUGCAGACUAGCUGGGUUAGAAAUUGUGCUUUCUCUUCCGAGACCUGGUAGUCCGUGUGGGGGCUGAUGCUGGGGAAGCUGGUCCCCGGCGAGGCAAAGUUUCAGCGCCAGCCUCGGCGCGGCGGCGGCGGCGACUCGCUGCUGCUCUCCUCCCCUGCUUUGACCACCAUCUUAUUAGUACAGGAAA
rnacentral:lncRNA from 1 species